AGUGACAUCUUUGAAGUGUUUGCAGUAGGAAUGCAACAAAAAGAAAGAGGAAAUUUCUCAGCGGCUACUCCUGUGCAAGCACAGAGGAGUCAGAGCAACGGCAGAGAAGUGCAGGCAAUAAGAUGAGUUUUCUGCAGAUAUACCUGGGAGUAUUUCACACCACCCAAUAGCAGUUGUUUAUGAUCGCUCAGGACUGCUUCAAUUCAAGACACUGGAACUGUCACUUGUUCUAAAUCCUCCUCCGCCUCCCCCAUCCUCCCUCUCAAUAUGCCAUUCUCCUCAUGAACAGUUGCAUCUCAGCUGUCAGUGUGAAUGGCAAAGAUGUCCUUUACUGAUAAGACUAUGCCUGUGGCACAGAGAGUUCCUCCGAACAGCUAAUUAGCAGUAGGUAGGCCACUACAAGGUUCAAUGCUGUCCUUCAAGUUGGCUGCCAACACUGACACCAUCAGCUGAACUGUCAUAUUUUGUUCCUCACUCGAAGGAACAGGUGAGGUUUUGGGGGGUCUAUGGAAAGAUGGCGGCACCCAAGUGAAGAGGAAGAAAAAUUACAGAAGAC